GGUUACCUCAGGUCAGAGAAGACUACCCGCUGGACUUAAGCAUAUCACUAAGCGGAGGAAAAGAAACUAACUAGGAUUCCCCCAGUAACUGCGAGUGAAGAGGGAAGAGCUCAUCAUUGGAAUCUGGCGGUGUUGCACCGUCCGAGUUGUAGAUGAGGAGUGGUUCAUCUGGACUGCAUGGCGUCCAAGUACAAUAGGCCGUCAGUGGGACAUCAUAGAGGGUGACAAUCCCGUCCUUGAUGCCAAUGUGCAAGUCCAUUACGAUGGCUAUCUCAGAGAGUCGAGCAGUUUGGGAUUUGCUGCUUAAACAUGGGAGGUAGAUUCCUUCUAAAGCUAAAUACAGGCGAGAGACCGAUAGAGAACAAGUACCGCAAGGGAAAGAUGAAAUAGCACUCUGUGAAGGGAGUCAAAAGGCGUGAAAUUGUUGCGAGAGAAGCGAUUCAAGUCAGCGUAGCUAGGCCCAUUAAGCCUCUUUGCGCUUUGGACUAGCUUUGCCAGCGGUCUUGUCCUUAGAGAGACUUGACUUGUAUGUCCAGCCUGGUAUGCACAGGUAGCCCUCCGGGGUCAGUGACAUGGCUGGUGGAAUGGCUUGCAAUCGACCCGUCUUGAAACACGGACCAAGGAGUCUAACAUGUAUGCGAGUAUAAGGGUGGCAAACCCGUAUGCGCAAUGAAAGUGAUUUUCGGUGAUUGAGAAUGGCCUGACGACCCAGACAAGCAAUAUAUGUCCCUCGGACGGCCAUUGCCCAAGUUCCGUGGUAGAUCCCACGAACAUGGAGUUGGAGCAUACAUGCUAGGACCCGAAAGAUGGUGAACUAUGCCUGGACAAAGCGAAGCCAAAGGAAACUCUGGUGGAGGCUUGUAGCGAUUCUGACGUGCAAAUCGAUCGUCUGAUCUGGGUAUAGG
rnacentral:rRNA from 1 species